rnacentral:rRNA from 1 species
AUUGAACGCUGGCGGCAGGCUUAACACAUGCAAGUCGAGCGAGCGGCGGACGGGUGAGUAAUGUCUGGGAAACUGCCUGAUGGAGGGGGAUGACUACUGGAAACGGUAGCUACUACCGCAUAACCUCAGAUGUGCCCAGAUGGGAUUAGCUAGUAGGUGGGGUAAUGGCUCACCUAGGCGCCGAUCCCUAGCUGGUCUGAGAGGAGGACCAGCCACACUGGACCUGAGACACGGUCCAGACGCCUACGGGAGGCUGCAGGGGGGACUAUUGCACAAUGGGCGCAAGCCUGCUGCAGCCAUGCCGCGUGUGUGAAGAAGGCCUUCGGGUUGUAAAGCACUUUCAGCGAGGAGGCGUUACUCGCAGAAGAAGCACCGGCUAACUCCGUGCCAGCAGCCGCGGUAAUUC